GAAUGGGGAAACCCACUUACAUAAGUAAGUAUCAUUAACUGAAUACAUAGGUUAAUGAGGCGAACCGGGGGAACUGAAACAUCUAAGUACCCCGAGGAAAAGAAAUCAACCGAGAUUCCGAAAGUAGCGGCGAGCGAAAUUGGACUAGCCCUUAAGCUUUACACGCGUUAGACGAACGGUCUGGAAAGUCCGACGAUACAGGGUGAUAGUCCCGUAGUUGACGACGUGUGUUCAGUGAAAUCGAGUAGGGCGGGACACGUGAUAUCCUGUCUGAAUAUGGGGGGACCAUCCUCCAAGGCUAAAUACUACUGACUGACCGAUAGUGAACCAGUACCGUGAGGGAAAGGCGAAAAGAACCCCUGUGAGGG
rnacentral:rRNA from 1 species